rnacentral:lncRNA from 1 species
CCUCCAUCACGAAAAGAAAGACGCUACGAGAUGCAUGUUGGCCAAACUUUCUUAAAUUUAGCUAGCUUUAUACAAAAUAUUAGCAAUAUUUAGAUUGCCAAAUAAAUAUUAUGAAAAUAUAUUCCAAGAUUUAUCUACGGUUUUUAAUGUUGCAUUGUUAGUGCCUAACAAAGCUAUGUAAAAUAGGACACAUAAUAAUUAUAUAAUAUACAAGCAAAAUUAGACAACCAAGUUUUAAAUUUUAAACUAAAAUAAUCACUGAGUCUUUAGCACGUCUGCUCCCUACCUCAUCUCUGUAUGUAGCUUCUUUUUUAGUUUUAUUUGAAGUAGCUUUUGUUUUUUAGUAGGAUCUGAGCUUUAUUUUUUGUUUUUUGUUUUAAGCUAUGACUAAAUAUUUAUGUCUGCAGCAUCCAACGGAGGAGCCCGGCCACUGGCCCAGGUGGCCGGGCCUUGGCUCCGCCCAUGCGCUUAAUGUCAUGUUCUGCCAUUUUUGCAGAUAAUAAUGUCAAAUUUCCAUAAUCAGAAUACCAAUAGUAGCACCUGCUGGAUGGUUUUCAGUUCAAUCGAUUCCUUGCAGCGUCUUCUCGAUCCGAGCGCGCACAGGCACAUGUCCCUCUCGUCCCUCCCGUGGCAGCACAUACCGAUACCGUAUCAAUCUAGGAUGCCCUGCAUGGCCAUAUCCGUUAAUUAAUGCGAGAGCGAUGUCCGAGCUAGCUCACUCGCUUUUACAGUUCUGGCCAACACGCUGACGACCUUCUAGAAGCAAAACAUGUGGUAUGAAUCCCAUCAUGGCCUGUAUGGCAACGGCCAACGGGCAAAAUGGCCCGGGCAGCAGGCAGCCGCCGUGCCUGUACGCCUGGACUAGGGACGAAGAAGCAGACAGCGACUCGGCCAGUACAGAAAUGCGAGUCUUCUAGAUAACUUGUUUUCACUAACAGCCUAGGCUGAUAAGCCGAUGAUUUAAAAUAUUGUUCACUAAUUUUUAUAAGAAAAAACACUAUAGCAAACUUGGCUGAUAAAUUUAAGCUAAGAAACUGUAAAAUUAAUUUGAGAUGGAGUUCCUUGAUGACUGCACGAGCAAAACUUUUACUAACAUAGGCCUUAUGUAGUUGUAAAAAUAUUUGCAAAAUAGACACUAUAGCACUUUCGUUUGUAUUUGACAAUACUCCCACAAUUCCAAAUUAUAAGACAUUUUAAGAAUCUUGGAGAGUCAAAGAUCUCAAGUUUGAUAAAACAUUAUUGAUAAAAUAUAAAAAUUUAUGACAUC